GAUUGAACGCUGGCGGCAUGCUUUCCACCUGCAAGUCGAACGGUAACAGGCCGCAAGGUGCUGACGAGUGGCGAACGGGUGAGUAAUGCAUCGGAACGUGCCCAGUCGUGGGGGAUAACUACUCGAAAGAGUAGCUAAUACCGCAUACGAUCUAUGGAUGAAAGCGGGGGACCGUAAGGCCUCGCGCGAUUGGAGCGGCCGAUGUCAGAUUAGGUAGUUGGUGGGGUAAAGGCUCACCAAGCCAACGAUCUGUAGCUGGUCUGAGAGGACGACCAGCCACACUGGGACUGAGACACGGCCCAGACUCCUACGGGAGGCAGCAGUGGGGAAUUUUGGACAAUGGGCGCAAGCCUGAUCCAGCAAUGCCGCGUGCAGGAAGAAGGCCUUCGGGUUGUAAACUGCUUUUGUACGGAACGAAACGGCUCUGGUUAAUACCCGGGGCUAAUGACGGUACCGUAAGAAUAAGCACCGGCUAACUACGUG
rnacentral:rRNA from 1 species